GUGGGGGACAACAGUCGGAAACGACUGCUAAUACCGCAUACGUCCUAAGGGAGAAAGUGGGGGAUCUAUUUAUAGACCUCACGCUAUUCGAUGAGCCCGCGUAAGAUUAGUUAGUUGGUGGGGUAAAGGUUUAUUAAGGUGACGAUCUUUAGCUGGUCUGAGAGGAUGAUCAGCCAUAUUGGGAUUGAGAUAUGGCCCAAACUCCUAUGGGAGGCAGCAGUGGGGAAUAUUGCACAAUGGGGGAAACCCUGAUGCAGCCAUGCCGCGUGUGUGAAGAAGGCUCUAGGGUUGUAAAGCACUUUCAGUGGGGAGGAAAGGAAGUAUGUUAAUAGCAUAUAUCUGUGACGUUACCCACAGAAGAAGCACCGGUUAACUCCGUGUUAGCAGUUGUGGUAAUACGGAGGGUGCAAGCGUUAAUCGGAAUUACUGGGCGUAAAGCGCGCGUAGGCGGUUGUCUAAGCUAGAUGUGAAAGCCCCGGGCUUAACCUGGGAACUGCAUUUAGAACUGGGCAACUAGAGUACAGCAGAGGAGUGUGGAAUUUCAGGUGUAGUGGUGAAAUGUGUAGAGAUCUGAAGGAAUAUUAGUGGCGAAGGCGACACUCUGGGUUGAUACUGACGCUGAGGUGCGAAAGCGUGGGGAGUAAACAGGAUUAGAUAUCCUGGUAGUCCACGCCGUAAACGAUGUCUACUAGCCGUUGGGGUCUUUGAGGCCUUAGUGGCGCAGCUAAUGCAAUAAGUAGACCGCCUGGGGAGUACGGCCGCAAGGUUAAAACUCAAAUGAAUUGACGGGGGCCCGCACAAGCGGUGGAGCAUGUGGUUUAAUUCGAAGCAAUGUGAAGAACCUUACCAGGUCUUGAUAUCCCGAGAAUUUUCUAGAAAUAGAUUAGUGCCUUCGGGAACUCGGUGAUAGGUGCUGUAUGGCGUCGUCAGCUCGCGUUGUGAGAUGUUGGGUUAAGUUUUGUAACGAGCGUAACCCUUGUCCUUAGUUGCCAUCAGGUAAUGUUGGGAAUUCUAAGGAGACUGCCGGUGAUAAACCGGAGGAAGGUGGGGACGACGUCAAGUCAUCAUGGCCCUUACGACCUGGGCUACACGCGUGCUACAAUGGGGAGUAUAAAGGGUUGCCAAGCCGUAAGGUUUAGCUAAUCCCAUAAAACUUCUCGUAGUCCGGAUUGGAGUCUGUAAUUUGACUCCAUGAAGUCGGAAUCGCUAGUAAUCGUGAAUUAGAAUGUUACGGUGAAUACGUUCCCGGGCCUUGUAUAUAUUGCCCGUCACACCAUGGGAGUGGGUUGCAAAAGAAGUAGCU
rnacentral:rRNA from 1 species